GCCUAACCGUUAACACAGACAAUUUAACCCACAAUAUUGUCCGCCAGAGAACUACAAACGAAAAGUUUAAAACUCAAAGGAUUUGGCGGUACCCAACUCCGACCUAGAGGAGCCUGUCCUAUAAUCGAUACCCCACGUUUUACCUUACCACCCCUUGCAAUUCAGCCUAUAUACCGCCGUCGUCAGCCUACCUUAUGAAAGAACACGAAGUAGACAAGACAGUUACCAACUAACACGUCAGGUCAAGGUGUAGCAUAUGGGCUGGAAGAGAUGGGCUACAUUUUCUUAAACAGAAAACACCAACAGCACAAUGAAACAAGUGCCAAAAGGCGGAUUUAGCAGUAAGAUAGACAAGACACACUACCUUAAACACGCUCUAGGGUGCGCACACACCGCCCGUCACCCUCAUUUACCGAACUAGUAACUAAAAAUAUUUUACAACCACCCAUGCAGAUGAGACAAG
rnacentral:rRNA from 1 species